rnacentral:ribozyme from 1 species
AGGAAGGUCUGAGAUGCUGCAUUUAAAGAAUAGAAAAGAAAAGUCAAUGAAUUUUAAUUUUUUUUUUUUUUUUUUUUUAUAAUUCUUAUGAAUUAAAAAGAAAGAAAAAAAAAGUUAUAACAUUCGUUGUUACUUUUUAUUUCACAUAUAUAUAUAUAUAUUCUUUAAUAAAAUUUUUGAGAGAAAAAGUAUUGAACAAAUAUUAAUUAGUUACCAGAAAUAUCAAUCAUAUAUUUAAAAUUUCGUAAGAAGUUUUGUGUAUGGUUUUGAAAAAGCUAAUAAGCAAGUAU